GGCUCAAUGGUCUAGUGGUAUGAUUCCUGCUUCGGGUUUACCCUUAGCACCCUUCCAUUCUACAUGGGAAUGCAGGAGGCCCCGGGUUCGAAUCCCGGUUGAGCCC